rnacentral:antisense_RNA from 1 species
GACAAUUUCAGUUGAUCUUGAUAUUUGCUUUUUAUUUUCAAAAGUUAAAAUGGGUUAAGCCAUAAAAAAUUUCUCUAUUAAUUCUGCAUGAAAUAACAGUUUAUGGAAAAUUUGUAUGGAAAUAAUCAGUUACUAAUUAACUAACUUCCAUAUCUUCUACAAUAUCUUUACUUUGUAACUUCAAAAUUUCAUCAUCAAUGCUAGCUAAGAAGCCAUCGUUGCAAUACUCAGUAACGAUUUUACUAAAGAAACUAUCAAAAGAAGUAACUUUUUUUUGAGAGCCAUUAAUUUUUUCAGGUAAGCUAAAGUAACCUUCAAACCUUGGAUAACCUAACAACAAUGACUGAGAAACUGUCAUUUUGCAUUGUUGAAUCAAACUGGAAAUACUACCUAGUUUUGAUUCAGAUUCAUUUAGCAGUUUUAAUAAACUUUUAAACAUUGAUUUCUGUGAUUCAAGUGCUUUAGAAACCUUUCUAAUCGAAGAAAGCAACUUUGACAAAGUUGAUCCCUUUCCAACACUCCUUGCAAUUAACGCUUGUAAACAACUUUCAAGUAAACUAAAGUCACUAAUCAUAGUAAUCAAUGUUUGUAAAAAUUGAAUCCCUUGAGUAAGCACAUUCAACAAAGAAAUUAAAUCAAGACAUGUAACUUCAAUAACUUUCCUGCUUGAACUGCUAAUACUAAACUUUUCAAGUUUUUUAGCUAGAUCAUCCAUGGUCUCUUCAAAAGUUUGUGAAUUCUGUCCCUGUCCUCUAUUACUACUAUCAUUUUUAGAAGACUUUUUACCUGAUUUCUUACUAGGUGCAUUGCUUUUAAGGGAUAGAGUCAAAAAACUUUGUGAAGAGAGAAAAUAAUUACGAGAGUUUCUUUCUAUUCCAACGAAGAUAGAAUCAUUGUGAGCAAUACUUGUAUAUAAUCUUCCAUUAUUAUUAAAGUUCAAAUUAUUAAUAUAUACUACUAUUGUAACUACCAACAAAAAAUACUUAUUGAAAUUCAUUUUCAAUAAAUAAGUAAUGCUAAUUUUUAUUCUAAUCUGUAAAAUAUGAGUUAUGAAAGCGUGUCUAAUUUUUCA